UCUAUCAUUCGACGAUUCCAUUAUACAUUAUAUAUUAAUUUUAUCUGACUGUUAAUUCUGAUAAGGGAAACUCUACUGUAUAUUACUAUGAUAAUAAAACCAAAAAUUUAGGGCUCUUCGUUUGGAAAUUACGCGAUGGAUAAUUAAGCCAUUCAGAAGCCACAUUGAUCGGCUGCAUAGAUGGAACAGCGGAGAAAUAUACCUAAUAAUAUUGCAGAUACUAUUUUUGAAGUUUACCUUGCAGUUUCCUACCAUUUACGUUAUCUUCUUGCAAUAACUGUAACGCUAAAUUUAUAUUAACAAGUAACGCGAUCUUCUUCUUCGUAAAUUAGUACUAGUAAAACAUCCUAAUCGAAAAAUAAUAUUAAAGAUCCAACAAACAUCUACCCACACGUUAUACAACUAGUAUUUCCUUUUGUACGCAAUAUCAGUAUUUCAUGGUUGGCACAAGAAACUUGUACAAAACGUCUCUCAAUUUCGCCUGGUUUCUAUGAAACGAUACCAAGUUUCAGCUCGAUUGAACAAGCUAAAAGCUGCUCUUAACAAGACCAACCAAAGUCACAGAGGCCAUCUCUGUUGUGUUUAUACGCAGCCGUGCAGCUUCUCUUUUUUCUUUUUUCGCCUGUUUUUUCUCGAGAAAGCGAUAACACGAAAGCUAGUGUAUAGGGUUGCUCGGGAUAAACCAGCUUUUGCCGCUUUUUCCCUAACCAUGCGCAGCGUCGCUAUACUAUUAAGGAUCGAUUAGCUGAAUGAGACAGGCUGUAGAAGCGAUGCAAAUUGGCGCAACGAAAGCUGUUUCAGACGAGAUUUUCUUUCUCUGAUUGCGAAUUAAUUUUAUUGCGUAUCAUUCGCCGGAUGAAUAAAAUUCAGUAUACCGUUUCACAGAUAAGCAUGUAAUUAAGCUUUUUUGUGUGAAGAUUUUUAAUCGCUACCGUAUCUUAGUAAUUUGUUUCACGGCGUUGAAAAAUAUCAGACUUUGUUCUUUUUAAUCCUAUGCCCAACUCGACAUUCUGUAUUUCUUUCAACAAUUUUUUAUUUUCAUUUUCUAGAGGCAACAUUUUUUGCUCUUCUAGUGACGAUAUUCUUUGAUUUUUUAGCGACAGUAUCAUAAAACUGUAUUUCCAUUUCGCCGUGUUUCUAGGUCGAAAUCUAAGCAAAAGUUUGAAAUAUUAGAAAUCUUCGACCAAUUUACACACUUCAAUAACUUCGGCGCUAUGGCGACUAACAAUAAGGUUAGACAUACAAAGAUUGGCGGGAAAUUUAAAUGUAUCACGCGUUUUUCCAUCUAUAAUCCAACUUUUAUAUCUUUUACUUUAAAGAAAAAAGUUCUUACCUAAUCUUUAUAAGAUUAAUAAAACUAUACUUCUCAUUGUCACUAUAAUUUUGAAGAAUUUCGUUGAAUUUCUACAAUUAUGAUACUUGUGAAAAUUCAUAUUUUUCUCAACACACCUUAACCUAAAUGGAGAUUAGAAUGAGAAUUUUAAGGUUAUGUUCGCCUCUGCGUACGUUACAAUAUUCGCACUACGUAAAAGAAAAUGAUCGUUGAAGAAAGAGAUCGUUCGUAUAGGUUAAGUCGAACAGAACAUCUGAAUCCAAUGACGCAGCAACUUCCGGUUCGCCCGGGGAGAAACUCGUCCCAAUUACAAAGCUGCAGGAUUCACAUUCGAUUUCCCUACACCCGAUGAAUCGAGAAAAUAUGCAACGAGAAUUUAAGGUCACUGCAGGGGAGCAGAAAAGAAUAUUAUUCAUGAUCCAGAAAAAAAAAGAAAAAAGAAAAGAAAAGGAAAGAAAAGAAAGAAAGAUGGAGGAGAGAAACGAGUUAACGAGACGGCCAUCCGGCCUGAUCUCCUCUGAAUUUUAAUGAACGCCUCUCUGAUUUAAAUUCGGACACUUCUUUUUCAGCGGAACUGACGAUGGACCCUGGGUCCAAAGCGUGGAAGAGAAAUUCUGCCCAGGAGAUAAAACCACACUCAUAUCACUCAAAAAUUGUUCUCAAAUUGGUCGUAAUGAUCUUUUUUAUGAUUUCAUACCACUGAACUUCUCCGAUUACAGGAAAAUAUUGCAAUUACAAAAGAGUAAUCCAUGUGAUGAAAAUUUUCAAGAAUUUCUUAAUUAAUCGAGACGUUUCUCAGGGAUACUCUUUCCCACAGUUUCCAGAGCAAGAAGAAGCCUCCACAGGAAGCGAUAUGACCUCAGGCUAGAGGAUUAUGAUCUCUAAUCAGUAAUUUCCCAAGUAUUUAAAUUUCUCCAAACAUUACUGCAGAAGACAAUUAAAUUUGAUGAAGCAAUAUUAGAAUUCAUAAGAGUUCAUAUCUCAGAAUCAUCAUGUAUCUAUGAUCUCAUGCAUUCAGGCUUGGAAUAUCACUGCUAACUUCAAAAGAAAUCACUAUGCGUGUAAUGUACCAAGCUUUUUAAUACCUUUUAACCCUCUAUAAUCAAAAUCCUGGUUGCUUGUCAAAGAAUGGUCUAUAGCUGGUUACGUUCUUACAUUUUGACUUAAAAAUUGUGCAACAAUUAUUUUCUAAUGAGCCGUUUACGUAUAAGACAUAUUUCUAUAAAUAAUUGAUCUCAUGAUAAACUACUUUCUUAGCCGCCAAGUGACAUAAAAGUCAGGAAGUCAAGAAAAAUAAACUUACUAUAGCUUUCUAGCAUGAUCUUUGUGUAAACCUUACCACGAGAAAAUUUAGCCAGCCUGUAAGCCUUUAAAUCUUAUUUUAAAUAAUUGUAUAUCUUCUUUUUAAGACACUGUUGCAUAAUGCGACUUUUACAAAACGUUUCUAUAUUAAUACACCAUAUUAAUGGCAACAUGCUAGUGGAUUGCAAAAGUUGAGAAGACAAAGCACUAUAAUUUCUUCUAUCUAACAUUCUUAUCAAUCAUUUUCGCUAGUGACGACCUUAAAAAACCGCUUAAUUACUGUUCAAACGUCGCACAGGCAGAUGCAAUCUCGAGCAAUAAAUCUACUCGCGGCUGGUAAUAGUUUCAUCUUUAUUGUAUUUGCUCGUUUCACCGAAUGAGAAGGGGCAACUCGGAGAAAAAAUGUAUGAUAACCGACGUCGUGAAUAGUAAUCAGAGAUACAUUGUAAUCCUCGCUGUGAGAAUUUCAAUGCGGCUGCAGCAACUCGUACAAUUGAAAUAAAUUGAAGACAAACACUGUAGUGUUAUGCAUAUACAUAUAUAUUAAUUAUAUACAUUAUCAGUUAUACAGCAGUUAUAUUUACUAAUUAUCAGGGUGCGACCGAAAAACACGAUCCCUUAUCAACAAAAUAAAAACAAAAUAUGGAAUAAAGUUUGCUCGUUUCAGUCUUAGUUUAAGAGAAAAUCGAGUUUGAAAAUUGAUGAAAAAAGCGCCACAAAUCGUCCACCUGGUAUAUACGUAACAACGUUGUACAACU